rnacentral:tRNA from 1 species
GGCCCCAUCGUCUAACGGUUAGGACGUUGCCCUCUCAAGGCAGAAAUACGGGUUCGAUUCCCGUUGGGGCCGCCA